rnacentral:rRNA from 1 species
GGAGGGGGUAAUACUGGAAACGGUAGUAAUACGCAUAACGUCUUCGGACAAAGUGGGGGCCUUCGGGCCUCACACCAUGGAUGUGCCCAGAUGGGAUUAGCUAGUAGGUGGGGUAAUGGCUCACCUAGGCACGAUCCCUAGCUGGUCUGAGAGGAUGACCAGCCACACUGGAACUGAGACACGGUCCAGACUCCUACGGGAGGCAGCAGUGGGGAAUAUUGCACAAUGGGCGCAAGCCUGAUGCAGCCAUGCCGCGUGUAUGAAGAAGGCCUUCGGGUUGUAAAGUACUUUCAGUGGGGAGGAAGGCGAUGAAGUUAAUAGCUUCGUCGAUUGACGUUACCCGCAGAAGAAGCACCGGCUAACUCC